AGAGUUUGAUCCUGGCUCAGAUUGAACGCUGGCGGCAGGCCUAACACAUGCAAGUCGAGCGGUAGAGAGAAGCUUGCUUCUCUUGAGAGCGGCGGACGGGUGAGUAAUGCCUAGGAAUCUGCCUGGUAGUGGGGGAUAACGUUCGGAAACGGACGCUAAUACCGCAUACGUCCUACGGGAGAAAGCAGGGGACCUUCGGGCCUUGCGCUAUCAGAUGAGCCUAGGUCGGAUUAGCUAGUUGGUGAGGUAAUGGCUCACCAAGGCGACGAUCCGUAACUGGUCUGAGAGGAUGAUCAGUCACACUGGAACUGAAACACGGUCCAGACUCCUACGGGAGGCAGCAGUGGGGAAUAUUGGACAAUGGGCGAAAGCCUGAUCCAGCCAUGCCGCGUGUGUGAAGAAGGUCUUCGGAUUGUAAAGCACUUUAAGUUGGGAGGAAGGGCAGUAAAUUAAUACUUUGCUGUUUUGACGUUACCGACAGAAUAAGCACCGGCUAACUCUGUGCCAGCAGCCGCGGUAAUACAGAGGGUGCAAGCGUUAAUCGGAAUUACUGGGCGUAAAGCGCGCGUAGGUGGUUUGUUAAGUUGGAUGUGAAAUCCCCGGGCUCAACCUGGGAACUGCAUUCAAAACUGACUGACUAGAGUAUGGUAGAGGGUGGUGGAAUUUCCUGUGUAGCGGUGAAAUGCGUAGAUAUAGGAAGGAACACCAGUGGCGAAGGCGACCACCUGGACUAAUACUGACACUGAGGUGCGAAAGCGUGGGGAGCAAACAGGAUUAGAUAGCCUGGUAGUCCACGCCGUAAACGAUGUCAACUAGCCGUUGGAAGCCUUGAGCUUUUAGUGGCGCAGCUAACGCAUUAAGUUGACCGCCUGGGGAGUACGGCCGCAAGGUUAAAACUCAAAUGAAUUGACGGGGGCCCGCACAAGCGGUGGAGCAUGUGGUUUAAUUCGAAGCAACGCGAAGAACCUUACCAGGCCUUGACAUCCAAUGAACUUUCUAGAGAUAGAUUGGUGCCUUCGGGAACAUUGAGACAGGUGCUGCAUGGCUGUCGUCAGCUCGCGUCGUGAGAUGUUGGGUUAAGUCCCGUAACGAGCGCAACCCUUGUCCUUAGUUACCAGCACGUAAUGGUGGGCACUCUAAGGAGACUGCCGGUGACAAACCGGAGGAAGGUGGGGAUGACGUCAAGUCAUCAUGGCCCUUACGGCCUGGGCUACACACGUGCUACAAUGGUCGGUACAGAGGGUUGCCAAGCCGCGAGGUGGAGCUAAUCCCACAAAACCGAUCGUAGUCCGGAUCGCAGUCUGCAACUCGACUGCGUGAAGUCGGAAUCGCUAGUAAUCGCGAAUCAGAAUGUCGCGGUGAAUACGUUCCCGGGCCUUGCACACACCGCCCGUC
rnacentral:rRNA from 1 species